AUAGUCAAAGAGAGAGUGAACGAGACAAACUACAUCAAAGCCAUUAAUUCAAAUUGAGGAUUAUGAGCGCAGCGGCAACAGCAACAGCAACAGCAACAGCAGCAACAACUAGUAAAAGCCCACGCCAAUGUAUGACAAAUCAAAGAAAACUUGGAGUCAGCGGCUCAAAAUCAGCAGCGACAAUAAGAACGCUUCUCUAGCCACAGCCGGCGGCAUGCAGACCCUUCAGCUGCUGCACAUGCAGCAGCAGCAGCAGCAACAGCAGCAGCAGCAG